GCUUAUGGCCAAACCUCCCUCAGCAAGCCCGAUCUCGUCUGAUCUCGUAAGCUAUGCAGGGUCGGGCCUGGUUAGUACUUGGAUGAGAGACAGCCUGGGAAUACCAGGUGCUGUAAGCU
ensembl:rRNA 5S_rRNA 5S ribosomal RNA